GGUCCAGACAUAGUAAGGAUUGACAGACUAAGAGCUCUUUCUUGAUUCUUUGGGUGGUGGUGCAUGGCCGUUCUUAGCUGGUGGAGCGAUUUAUCUGGUUAAUUCCGUUAACGAACGAGACCUUAGCCUACUAACUAGCUAUGCGGAGGUACACCUUCGCAGCUAGCUUCUUAGAGGGACUAUGGCCUUUUAGGCCACGGAAGUUUGAGGCAAUAACAGGUCUGUGAUG
rnacentral:ncRNA from 1 species